GAUGAACGCUGGCGGCGUGCCUAAUACAUGCAAGUCGAGCGAACGGACGAGAAGCUUGCUUCUCUGAUGUUAGCGGCGGACGGGUGAGUAACACGUGGAUAACCUACCUAUAAGACUGGGAUAACUUCGGGAAACCGGAGCUAAUACCGGAUAAUAUUUUGAACCGCAUGGUUCAAAAGUGAAAGACGGUCUUGCUGUCACUUAUAGAUGGAUCCGCGCUGCAUUAGCUAGUUGGUAAGGUAACGGCUUACCAAGGCAACGAUGCAUAGCCGACCUGAGAGCGUGAUCGGCCACACUGGAACUGAGACACGGUCCAGACUCCUACGGGAGGCAGCAGUAGGGAAUCUUCCGCAAUGGGCGAAAGCCUGACGGAGCAACGCCGCGUGAGUGAUGAAGGUCUUCGGAGCGUAAAACUCUGUUAUUAGGGAAGAACAUAUGUGUAAGUAACUGUGCACAUCGUGACGGUACCUAAUCAGAAAGCCACGGCUAACUACGUG
rnacentral:rRNA from 1 species